rnacentral:rRNA from 1 species
UACGUAGGUGGCAAGCGUUGUCCGGAAUUAUUGGGCGUAAAGCGCGCGCAGGCGGUCCUUUAAGUCUGAUGUGAAAGCCCACGGCUCAACCGUGGAGGGUCAUUGGAAACUGGGGGACUUGAGUACAGAAGAGGAAAGCGGAAUUCCACGUGUAGCGGUGAAAUGCGUAGAGAUGUGGAGGAACACCAGUGGCGAAGGCGGCAUCCUGGACCAAUUCUGACGCUGAGGAGCGAAAGCCAGGGGAGCAAACGGG